AUUGAACGCUGGCGGAAGGCCUAACACAUGCAAGUCGAACGAGUGGCGGACGGGUGAGUAAUGUCUGGGAAACUGCCUGAUGGAGGGGGAUAACUACUGGCAACGGUAGCUAAUCCCGCAUACCAUCGGAUGUGCCCAGAUGGGAUUAGCUAGUAGGUGGGGUAAAGGCUCACCUAGGCGACGAUCCCUAGCUGGUCUGAGAGGAUGACCAGCCACACUGGCACGUAGACACGGUCCAGACUCCUACGGGAGGCAGCAGUGGGGAAUAUUGCACAAUGGGCGCAAGCCUGAUGCAGCCAUGACGCGGGUAUGAAGAAGGCCUUCGGGUUGUAAAGUACUUUCAGCGGAGAAGCGUUACCCGCAGAAUAAGCACCGGCUAACUCCGUGCCAGCAGCCGCGGUAAUAC
rnacentral:rRNA from 1 species